rnacentral:rRNA from 1 species
GGGGUCUCUGAUUUAUCCGGCGAGGGGAGGCGGAGAGUUGUAGCUGGCCUCUAGGGGCAUGUGCACGCUCUCUUCCGGACCUUUCGCCGUAUGGGCGCGGGGCGACCCGCGUCUUCAUAUACCUCUUCGUGUAGAAAGUCUUUGAAUGUUUUACCAUCAUCGAGUCGCGACUUCUAGGAGACGCGAUUCUUUGAGAAAAAAGUUAUUACAACUUUCAGCAACGGAUCUCUUGGCUCUCGCAUCGAUGAAGAACGCAGCGAAUCGCGAUAUGUAAUGUGAAUUGCAGAUCUACAGUGAAUCAUCGAAUCUUUGAACGCACCUUGCGCUCCUCGGUGUUCCGAGGAGCAUGCCUGUUUGAGUGUCAGUAAAUUCUCAACCCCUCUCGAUUUGCUUCGAGCGGGUGCUUGGAUGUUGGGGGCUGCCGGAGACACUGGAUUCGUCCAGGACUCGGGCUCCUCUUAAAUGAAUUGGCUCGCGGUCGACUUUCGACUUUGCAUGACAAGGCCUUUGGCGUGAUAAUGAUCGCCGUUCGCCGAAGUGCAAGACAGAAUGGUCCCGUGCCUCUAAUGCGUCGACGCCUCUAGGGGCGUCUUCCUCAUUGACGUUUGACCUCAAAUCAGGUAGGACUACCCGCUGAACUUAAGCAUAUCAAAAGCCCGGAGGAA